rnacentral:rRNA from 1 species
AGUGAACGCUGGCGGUAGGCCUAACACAUGCAAGUCGAACGGCAGCACAGUAAGAGCUUGCUCUUACGGGUGGCGAGUGGCGGACGGGUGAGGAAUACAUCGGAAUCUACUUUUUCGUGGGGGAUAACGUAGGGAAACUUACGCUAAUACCGCAUACGACCUACGGGUGAAAGCAGGGGAUCUUCGGACCUUGCGCGAUUGAAUGAGCCGAUGUCGGAUUAGAUAGUUGGCGGGGUAAAGGCCCACCAAGCCGACGAUCCGUAGCUGGUCUGAGAGGAUGAUCAGCAAGACUAGAACUGAGAGACGUUCCAGACUCCUACGAGGAGCAGGAGUGGAGAAUAUUAGGUAAUGGGCGAGAGCUGGAUCCAGCCAUACCGCGUGGGUGAAGAAGGCCUUCGGGUUGUGAAGCCCGUUUGUGGGGAAAGAAAAGCAGCAGGGUAAUACCCCGCUGUUCUGACGGUACCCAAAGAAUAAACACCGGCUAACUUCGUG